UUGGAGGGCAAGUCUGGUGCCAGCAGCCGCGGUAAUUCCAGCUCCAAUAGCGUAUAUUAAAGUUGUUGCAGUUAAAAAGCUCGUAGUUGAAUUUCGGGAUUAGUACGUCGGUCGUGCCUUAGGUACGUACUGGUGUUACUGGUUCCUACCUUCUGACGAACCAUCAUGUCAUUAAUUUGGUGUGGUGGGGAAUCAGGACUGUUACUUUGAAAAAACUAGAGUGUUUAAAGCAGGCUCGCGCUUGAAUACAUUAGCAUGGAAUAAUGAAAUAGGACGUUGAUCCUAUUUUGUUGGUUUCUAGGAUUGACGUAAUGAUUAAUAGGGAUAGUUGGGGGCAUUAGUAUUCAAUUGUCAGAGGUGAAAUUCUUGGAUUUAUUGAAGACUAACUACUGCGAAAGCAUUUGCCAAGGAUGUUUUCAUUAAUCAAGAACGAAAGUUAGGGGAUCGAAGACGAUCAGAUACCGUCGUAGUCUUAACCAUAAACUAUGCCGACUAGGGAUCGGAUGAUGUUAAUUUUUUAAUGACUCAUUCGGCGCCUUACGGGAAAC
rnacentral:rRNA from 1 species